GGGAAAACAAUUUACAUAAUUUCAAGCGAUUUUCCGCAGCUCUUUCCUGAUUUCCCAGUCUUUUUUGGCAGCGUUUAUGAUUUUCAAUGGGGGCCACAUUGAAUGACGUUUGAUGCGGUGGGCAACGUUUUGUUUAAAUCUCGACUGUCGAUUGUGACUAUCAUGAAAGUGGGCGUAUCCUUUAGCCACGUGACCGCACGCGUUGUGUUGAAUUUAACACGGAACGUAGUCCUUCCCAUCCGGAGACUUGGGUGCAAUGCAAAUGGGGUGCGCCAAUAGACCCGCACAGCCCGUCAGCCAGCCAAAUAUUUUUUAAACAUUUUUUUUUUUUCGCUGGCGAAGGACAACGACGGAGGACGCGUGCAGCCAAUAAGUCCUUCAUCACUUCCGCUUCAGUUCAGUUCCGUGAUUUUGCACAAAUAAUGUUUUGAUUGCGUGGCAGCGUGACGUGUAAUUAUUAUCGCCGCACACAAUCGCCAUCGCCAUCGCCAACAACAAAGGCUAAGCCCUCGAUUCCGGGGGCUCUUUGGUAGGAGAAGGAUGCCCAAGUGCGGCAAAGCAAUUAAAAUGAUUUGCCAGAUGAAAACCAGCCAACAGAAGAUUCUCCGAACUGGUAGUGUAACAAAGAGGGCUGAAGUCAUUCGGUUUUCCAAAUAAAUCUAAUAUCAUUUUGGCAAAGCACUUAGUGAUCUUGUGCACACCCAAAAACUCAAAGAUGUCUUUAAUUACAAAGGAUGCCCGAAGUGAAAAAAGAAUCUGAAGACAAUUUUUUAAGGACACUCACUCGACUGCCGCAAAUCACAAAUUAAAAAUGGCUGACAAAAAAUUAUGCAAAUUUCGCUGGCGCCCAAUCCUUUACAGGACAGCGAGAAAAUUUCAUUAAAAACAGCAGCAGCGCAAGAAAUCUUUUGAUAAAAAUUAAAAACUUUGCGCUGUUGGACAAUUGACAAGGCGGAAAAAAGCAAAAAUAAAAUGAAACAAGAAACGAAAAUAAAACAUCAAAAAAUUCUGAAAUGAUGGAACAAGGAAUUAAAACAAGCAAUCAUAAAAUAUUAUGACAGCGUGGAAAUUGGGAUAGAAAGCCUCUUAAGGUCCAGCCAAGUGGAGUGCGACUUGCCGGCUGCUUUGCAUAAUUAUAUUCAUUGAAAACUUAUUUUCUUCAAGUUUUCCGCAGCAGGAAAAUAUUAAAAAAAAAAUACGUGGAAAAGAGGAAAAAUCCCAGAGCUGAAUUGAGUUACAUCACAAGAAGAUGGCGAGAAGAGAAACAGUUUUUGACAUUUAAUUGCUGAAGAACUGCAGCUUGGCGAUGGGUCGCUGUAUAAUGGAGGUGGAGCAACUGAGUAUCGGAGAAGAGCUGCCCAAAUGUCCACCUCGCCACUUGGCGAAACUCGUUUCAAUGGACAGCAUCCUGAAGAUGCUGAAACUUGUGCUGCCGCAGAAUAAGAGGACCGAAAGCUGAGGAGCUCGUCCCAGAGAGAAGAAAAAAUGUAACAUGAUUUAAUGACAUGAAUUAUUUAUGAGUUUCCUGUCAAUCAAAAACCACGUCAAAGCAUUUUGAUGGCGAUGUCAACGCGCCAGUGAGCAAAACACACGAUGCUGCCUCGCCACAAGCAUAAAAAAUAAAAUACAAAAAUAAAGAAAAUCAAAAAAA